UACGGAGGGUGCAAGCGUUAUUCGGAAUUACUGGGCGUAAAGGGCGCGCAGGCGGCUUGGUAAGUCAGUUGUGAAAGCCCGGGGCUUAACCCCGGAAGUGCAAUUGAAACUGUCAGGCUUGAGUAUGGUAGAGGGAAGUGGAAUUCCUGGUGUAGCGGUGAAAUGCGUAGAUAUCAGGAGGAACACCGGUGGCGAAGGCGACUUCCUGGACCAAAACUGACGCUGAGGCGCGAAGGCGUGGGGAGCAAACAGG
rnacentral:rRNA from 1 species